ACACUGAUGGUGAAGUGGUUAUCAUGCUUGCCUUCCAUGAUCGCCAUGUAUGGCAUGAGAUUAUAGCAAGCGGCAGGGGUUCGAUUCCCCUUCAGUGUA